UACGUAGGGUGCAGGCGUUAAUCGGAAUUACUGGGCGUAAAGCGUGCGCAGGCGGUUUGCUAAGACAGGUGUGAAAUCCCCGGGCUUAACCUGGGAACUGCGCUUGUUACUGGCAAGCUAGAGUGUGGCAGAGGGGGGUGGAAUUCCGGGUGUAGCAGUGAAAUGCGUAGAGAUCUGGAGGAACACCGAUGGCGAAGGCAGCCCCCUGGGCUAACACUGACGCUCAUGCACGAAAGCGUGGGGAGCAAACAGG
rnacentral:rRNA from 1 species